GAUGAAGAACGUAGCGAAAUGCGAUAAGUAGUGUGAAUUGCAGAAUUCCGUGAGUCAUCGAAUCUUUGAACGCACAUUGCGCCCACUGGUAUUCCGGUGGGCAUACCUGUUCGAGCGUCAUUAUCCUCCCUCAAACCUCGGGUUUGGUGUUGGACCCAAGUUGUGUGAACAACUGGUCUCAAAGACAAUGACGGCGUCCGUGGGACCCUCGGUGCAACGAGCUUUUAAACGAGCACGCGUCGAGUUUCAAGGACCUUCCGGGCCGGUCUCCUUCUUUUUAUUUACCAAGGUUGACCUCGGAUCAGGUAGGAAUACCCGCUGAACUUAAGCAUAUCAAUAAGCGGAGGA
rnacentral:misc_RNA from 1 species